rnacentral:rRNA from 1 species
GACAGAGGGUGCAAACGUUGUUCGGAAUUACUGGGCGUAAAGCGAGUGUAGGCGGUCUGCUAAGUCGGGUGUGAAAGCCCUGGGCUCAACCCAGGAAGUGCACUCGAAACUGGCAGGCUAGAGUACUGGAGAGGGUUGGUGGAAGUUCUCGGUUGUAGGAGGUGAAAUUCGUAGAUAUCGAGAGGAACACCGGUGGCGAAGGCGGCCAACUGGACAGAUACUGACGCGAGACGCGAAGCGUGGG